UACAGGGGGUGCAAACGUUGCUCGGAAUCAUUGGGCGUAAAGCGCACGUAGGCGGUCUGUUAUGUCGGAUGUGAAAGCCCUUGGCUCAACUGAGGAAGUGCAUCCGAAACUGGCAGGCUAGAGUGCGGUAGGGGUGACUGGAAUUCCUGGUGUAGCGGUGGAAUGCGCAGAUAUCAGGAGGAACACCGAUGGCGAAGGCAGGUCACUGGGCCGCAACUGACGCUGAGGAGCGAAAGCAUGGGGAGCGAACAGG
rnacentral:rRNA from 1 species